rnacentral:lncRNA from 1 species
GCUCCUCAGAAUUUUGCUUACUUGCUUUUUCUCAGUUAUUGGAUCUCCUAGUCCAGCCAGAUCAUUAACUAUUUGUGAUAGUCUAAUGUUCAUCUCUGCGAUAGUCUUGUCUUCCUUCAUAGAGAGUCUUUCGAACUGAGAGGUAGCAUGUAAUAACUUAUUUUCUUUAACAUGGGAGGUUCCUUCAUGUAGAUCCUCCAAUGCUUUCCAUACCUUGUGAGUUGUAUCCAAGCAUCGAAUUCUGCUGUACUCAGAUUCAUUGAGUGCUCCAUAUAGAGCAUUCAAUGCUCUUGAGUUGUUGUUUUCCUUGAGGAUGUCCAUUUCUCCCCAAGUCUCUUCAUUGCUUGUUGGAAUUUCAUAAUCCUCUAAUAUGAUUUUCCAUACUCCAUUGUUGAUUGACUUCAAUUAUAACUUCAUCUUGUUCUUCCAGAAGUCAUACUUUACUCCAUCGAACCUGGGAGGUUUGUUUGACACAAGACCAGUGUUGAAUUCACCAUUUGGUGCCAUAGUUGUUGUUGUAAGAUGUUAGUC